UUAUUGUUAGCACGAGUGAAAUCAAUUCUCAGAAUGUUUAGAGAAUUUAGUUAAUUGGAUAACUUCUAUUUUACUUUAGUGGCAAAGUAUGAGUUGAACAUUUUUUUUUUUGUUUAACCAGGUGUUGGUCUUGCGGCCCACCACUUAAGCCCGGCGCCACCCUUUGUCUGUACCUUUUUACGGGUCCUGGACACGCCUCUCCUUCUACGCGAGUCGAACAGCCGACCUCCUCUCUCCAAAGAGGUAGUACCACUGGACUAG
rnacentral:lncRNA from 1 species